rnacentral:rRNA from 1 species
GGGGAAUAUUGCACAAUGGGGGAAACCCUGAUGCAGCGACGCCGCGUGGAGGAAGAAGGUCUUCGGAUUGUAAACUCCUGUUGUUGAGGAAGAUAAUGACGGUACUCAACAAGGAAGUGACGGCUAACUACGUGCCAGCAGCCGCGGUAAAACGUAGGUCACAAGCGUUGUCCGGAAUUACUGGGUGUAAAGGGAGCGCAGGCGGGAAGACAAGUUGGAAGUGAAAUCUAUGGGCUCAACCCAUAAACUGCUUUCAAAACUGUUUUUCUUGAGUAGUGCAGAGGUAGGCGGAAUUCCCGGUGUAGCGGUGGAAUGCGUAGAUAUCGGGAGGAACACCAGUGGCGAAGGCGGCCUACUGGGCACCAACUGACGCUGAGGCUCGAAAGUGUGGGUAGCAAACAGGAUUAGAUACCCUGGUAGUCCACACCGUAAACGAUGAUUACUAGGUGUUGGAGGAUUGACCCCUUCAGUGCCGCAGUUAACACAAUAAGUAAUCCACCUGGGGAGUACGACCGCAAGGUUGAAACUCAAAGGAAUUGACGGGGGCCCGCACAAGCAGUGGAGUAUGUGGUUUAAUUCGACGCAACGCGAAGAACCUUACCAAGUCUUGACAUCCCUUGACGAACAUAGAAAUAUGUUUUUCCUUCGGGACGCAGAGACAGGUGGUGCAUGGUUGUCGUCAGCUCGUGUCGUGAGAUGUUGGGUUAAGUCCCGCAACGAGCGCAACCCUUACUGUCAGUUACUACGCAAGAGGACUCUGGCAGGACUGCCGUUGACAAAACGGAGGAAGGUGGGGAUGACGUCAAAUCAUCAUGCCCUUUAUGACUUGGGCUACACACGUACUACAAUGGCGUUAAACAAAGAGAAGCAAGACCGCGAGGUGGAGCAAAACUCAGAAACAACGUCCCAGUUCGGACUGCAGGCUGCAACUCGCCUGCACGAAGUCGGAAUUGCUAGUAAUCGUGGAUCAGCAUGCCACGGUGAAUACGUUCCCG